UACGUAGGGUGCGAGCGUUAAUCGGAAUUACUGGGCGUAAAGCGUGCGCAGGCGGUUCGUUAAGUCAGAUGUGAAAGCCCCGGGCUCAACCUGGGAACUGCAUUUGAAACUGGCGGGCUUGAGUGUGGCAGAGGAGAGUGGAAUUCCUGGUGUAGCGGUGAAAUGCGCAGAUAUCAGGAAGAACACCUAUGGCGAAGGCAGCUCUCUGGGACGGUACUGACGCUGAGACGCGAAAGCGUGGGGAGCGAACAGG
rnacentral:rRNA from 1 species